AGCUCUCGCUAUUAGAUGAGCCUAAGUCGGAUUAGCUGGUUGGUGGGGUAAAGGCCUACCAAGGCGACGAUCUGUAGCUGGUCUGAGAGGAUGAUCAGCCACACUGGGACUGAGACACGGCCCAGACUCCUACGGGAGGCAGCAGUGGGGAAUAUUGGACAAUGGGCGAAAGCCUGAUCCAGCCAUGCCGCGUGUGUGAAGAAGGCCUUUUGGUUGUAAAGCACUUUAAGUGGGGAGGAAAAGCUUAUGGUUAAUACCCAUAAGCCCUGACGUUACCCACAGAAUAAGCACCGGCUAACUCUGUGCCAGCAGCCGCGGUAAUACAGAGGGUGCAAGCGUUAAUCGGAAUUACUGGGCGUAAAGCGCGCGUAGGUGGUUAUUUAAGUCAGAUGUGAAAGCCCCGGGCUUAACCUGGGAACUGCAUCUGAUACUGGAUAACUAGAGUAGGUGAGAGGGGAGUAGAAUUCCAGGUGUAGCGGUGAAAUGCGUAGAGAUCUGGAGGAAUACCGAUGGCGAAGGCAGCUCCCUGGCAUCAUACUGACACUGAGGUGCGAAAGCGUGUGUGGCANCCNGAGAUUNGAUACCCUGGUAGUCCACGCCGUAAACGAUGUCUACCAGUCGUUGGGUCUUUUAAAGACUUAGUGACGCAGUUAACGCAAUAAGUAGACCCGCCUGGGGAGUACCGGCC
rnacentral:rRNA from 1 species